CCUAGCGGCGGACGGGUGAGUAAUGCUUAGGAAUCUGCCUAUUAGUGGGGGACAACAUCUCGAAAGGGAUGCUAAUACCGCAUACGUCCUACGGGAGAAAGCAGGGGACCUUCGGGCCUUGCGCUAAUAGAUGAGCCUAAGUCGGAUUAGCUAGUUGGUGGGGUAAAGGCCUACCAAGGCGACGAUCUGUAGCGGGUCUGAGAGGAUGAUCCGCCACACUGGGACUGAGACACGGCCCAGACUCCUACGGGAGGCAGCAGUGGGGAAUAUUGGACAAUGGGGGGAACCCUGAUCCAGCCAUGCCGCGUGUGUGAAGAAGGCCUUUUGGUUGUAAAGCACUUUAAGCGAGGAGGAGGGUACUGGUAUUAAUACUACCAGGUACUGGACGUUACUCGCAGAAUAAGCACCGGCUAACUCUGUGCCAGCAGCCGCGGUAAUACAGAGGGUGCGAGCGUUAAUCGGAUUUACUGGGCGUAAAGCGUGCGUAGGCGGCUAAUUGAGUCGGAUGUGAAAUCCCCGAGCUUAACUUGGGAAUUGCAUUCGAUACUGGUUAGCUA
rnacentral:rRNA from 1 species